rnacentral:lncRNA from 1 species
UAAUAUUUUUAACUUAUUUUUGCUUUUGGAUUUUACAGCCGUUAUAUGAAACACUUAUUUCUUGUUCUCAUCAGCUCAUUGGAAUUGUAUGAUUCACAUUCUCAGUAUUUUCAGGGAUCUGUAAAGUGCCAAAAAUUUUGGGCUGUUUAAUAGUGUCUAACUUGGUAUGCUUCCAUAAAAUGGUCCCACUAAUGCCGGUGACAUACUGACAUGCUUGGUUUAUUUUGUG